GCAUCCAUGGUUGAAUAGCAAAAGCACCCAAAUUAUAAUUAGCGAAUUCAUAGGUUCAAUUCUAAUUGGAUGCA
rfam:Populus trichocarpa isolate Nisqually-1 chromosome 6, whole genome shotgun sequence.